GCUCACGGCCAUAUCAGCCUGGGUACGCCCGAUCUCGUCUGAUCUCGGAAGCUAAGCAGGGUCGGGCCUGGUUAGUACUUGGAUGCGAGACCGCCUGGGAAUACCAGGUGCUGUAAGCA
rnacentral:rRNA from 1 species